GGCGGCAGGCCUCAAACAUGCAAGUCUAGGGGGUGUAGCAAUACAUCACCGGCGGACGGGUGCGUAACGCGUGGGAAUAUACCUUUUGGUUCGGAACAACGCAGGGAAACUUGCGCUAAUACCGAAUGUGCCCUUACGGGGAAAGAUUUAUCGCCAAAGGAUUAGCCCGCGUAGGAUUAGCUAGUUGGUGAGGUAAUGGCUCACCAAGGCUCCGAUCCUUAGCUGUUCUGAGAGGAAGAUCAGCCACACUGGGACUGAGACACGGCCCAGACUCCUACGGGAGGCAGCAGUUGGGAAUCUUGGACAAUGGGGGAAACCCUGAUCCAGCCAUGCCGCGUGAGUGAUGAAGGCCUUCGGGUUGUAAAACUCUUUCGACGGGGACGAUAAUGACGGUACCCGUAGAAGAAGCUCCGGCUAACUUCGUGCCAGCAGCCGCGGUAAUACGAAGGGGGCUAGCGUUGUUCGGAAUUACUGGGCGUNAAGCGCGCGCAGGCGGUCUUCCAAGUCAGUGGUGAAAGCCCGGA
rnacentral:rRNA from 1 species